UUUUUUUCUUUAUUUAUUUUACGGACUAUACGGAUCAUCGUGGUCAUGGAAGUAAAAUGGUCACAAAAUCAUCGUUGGAAAACUGACAAUGCCACCAUCAUUAAUGCAAGACGCUGGCUGUGGCACCCCCGCCAUCAAUGGAUGACGAGGACAGUUAACCACAAGCAUGUGAAUUCGAGCUUGGAGUUUAAUGAGCUCGACAACGACAAUGGCGGCCAAUCAUUGAGGACUAAAUCAUGACGGUCGUCUGUGGUCAUGUUUUCCCUUAUUAUCAAUGGUGUGAUAGUUUGCUGAAGGAAAGGCCAUUUGUAUGUGACGCAACUCUCGAUCACAUAAUCUUCCUCGUGCGAUGGACAACGACGAGGAUAACGUACCAUCCCUACGUGAUGGGUAGGUCACGGGAGAUGUGGAUAAAGGACUGUCUGGAGUUCGGGUUGUAGCGAUGGCUAAGGGCCGAAGAGAAUGCUAGUGAGAAUAGCUAUAAUUAAAAGUAUCUCUUUAGAAUCAGUCAAAGUUGUUAUUUUGUUGGGAUUUUAUUGUUAUAGUCUUCCAUUAUAGUGGUUGGUUUCUUUGUUGCUAUUUUGUUCUUAUCUGUUAGUAUCAAUAGCUUAUUUUAAAAGCUUUGUUGUCAGAUGAAUAAAGCAAACAGUGAAGUAUUUCCCUC